UAAUGCAAAUAGUUAAUGUGUUUGGCUGCUAACCAAAAGAUUGGAGGUUCAAGUCCACCUA
rnacentral:tRNA from 1 species